CUGGUUGAUCCUGCCGGACCCGACUGCUAUCGGAGUGGGGCUAAGCCAUGCGAGUCGUACGUCCCGGGCUGGCGGGACGUGGCGUACGGCUCAGUAACACGUGGUCAACCUACCCUGCGGACGGCUAUAACCCCGGGAAACUGGGGCUAAUAGCCGAUAGGGGAUGGGUGCUGGAAGGCCCCGUCCCCGAAAGGCCCAACCACCCAUGCCGUGGUUGGGCGCCGCAGGAUGGGACUGCGCCCUAUCAGGUAGACGGUGGGGUAACGGCCCACCGUGCCUAUAACGGGUGCGGGCCCUGGGAGGGGGAGCCCGGAGAUGGGCACUGAGACAAGGGCCCAGGCCCUACGGGGCGCAGCAGGCGCGAAACCUCCGCUAUGCGCGAAAGCGCGACGGGGUCACUCCGAGUGCCGCCUGCUGAGGGCGGCUUUUGCCCAGUCCAAAAGGCUGGGCGAAUAAGGGGAGGGCAAGUUUGGUGUCAGCCGCCGCGGUAAUACCAACUCCCCGAGUGGUCGGGACGAUUAUUGGGCUUAAAGCGUCCGUAGCCGGCCCGGUGUGUCUCCGGUUAAAUCCGGCGUCUCAAGCGCCGGGCUGCUGGAGAUACUACCGGGCUAGGGAGCGGGAGAGGCGGGCGGUAUUCCCUGGGUAGGGGUAAAAUCCUAAGAUCCAGGGAGGACCAUCGGUGGCGAAGGCGGCCCGCUAGAACGCGUCCGACGGUGAGGGACGAAAGUUGGGGGAGCGAUCCGGAUUAGAUACCCGGGUAGUCCCAGCCGUAAACGAUGCAGGCUAGGUGUGUGGGCACCUUAGGGGUGCCCAUGUGCCGAAGGGAAACCGUUAAGCCUGCCGCCUGGGGAGUACGGCCGCAAGGCUGAAACUUAAAGGAAUUGGCGGGGGAGCACCACAAGGGGUGGAGCCUGCGGCUUAAUUGGAGUCAACGCCGG
rnacentral:rRNA from 1 species